GUGAAUCAUCGAAUUUUUGAACGCAAAUUGCACUCUCCGGUUUUCCGGGAGAGUAUGCCUGUUUGGGGGUCAGCCUAAAAAAAAUCGUCAUUGUUGCUGUUAUUUAAUGGUGACUUUCGUCGGCGAUUGGGUUAUCUUAAACCUUUUUUUUUUUUUGGUUUAACCCACUUAAAAUUUUUCUUCAUAAUUUCAUGUACGUUGUUAAUUUUUUUAUUUUU
rnacentral:misc_RNA from 1 species